GUAGUCCACGCCCUAAACGAUGAAUACUUGGUGUUGGUCAUUUUGAUCAGUGCCGUAGGUAACCUGAUAAGUAUUCCACCUGGGGAGUACGCUCGCAAGGGUGAAACUCAAAGGAAUUGACGGGGCCCGCACAAGCGGUGGAGCAUGUGGUUUAAUUCGAUGCAACGCGAAGAACCUUACCUAGGCUUGAACUGUUGGUGGUAGGACCCUGAAAGGGAACGACCCGCAAGGGAGCCAAUAGAGGUGCUGCAUGGCUGUCGUCAGCUCGUGCCGUGAGGUGUUGGGUUAAG
rnacentral:rRNA from 1 species